GAUGAACGCUGGCGGCGUGCCUAAUACAUGCAAGUCGAGCGAACAGACGAGGAGCUUGCUCCUCUGACGUUAGCGGCGGACGGGUGAGUAACACGUGGAUAACCUACCUAUAAGACUGGGAUAACUUCGGGAAACCGGAGCUAAUACCGGAUAAUAUAUUGAACCGCAUGGUUCAAUAGUGAAAGACGGUUUUGCUGUCACUUAUAGAUGGAUCCGCGCCGCAUUAGCUAGUUGGUAAGGUAACGGCUUACCAAGGCAACGAUGCGUAGCCGACCUGAGAGGGUGAUCGGCCACACUGGAACUGAGACACGGUCCAGCCUCCACGGGAGGCAGCAGUAGGGAAUCUUCCGCAAUGGGCGAAAGCUUGACGGAGCAACGCCGCGUGAGUGAUGAAGGUCUUCGGAUCGUAAAACUCUGUUAUUAGGGAAGAACAAAUGUGUAAGUAACUAUGCACGUCUUGACGGUACCUAAUCAGAAAGCCACGGCUAACUACGUG
rnacentral:rRNA from 1 species